rnacentral:rRNA from 1 species
CAGUCGCCGCGGGAAUACGAAGGUCCCGAGCGUUGUUCGGAAUCACUGGGCGUAAAGGGAGCGUAGGCGGCGUGGUAAGUCAGAUGUGAAAUCCCAGGGCUCAACCCCGGAACUGCAUCCGAUACUGCCGUGCUAGAGGAUUGGAGAGGUAGCUGGAAUUCUUGGUGUAGCAGUGAAAUGCGUAGAGAUCAAGAGGAACACUCGUGGCGAAAGCGAGCUACUGGACAACAUCUGACGCUGAGGCUCGAAGGCCAGGGUAGCGAAAGGGAUUAGAUACCCCAGUAGUCCCUGUCUCUUAUAC